rnacentral:lncRNA from 1 species
AAAGCUCCACAAAACCUUAUAAAAUUUGUAAAGAAAAACCACCAAAAGAGUUUUUUUAAGAUAGUAAUCUGAUUCAUUGUCAAUUAAUAAAUUAAACUAAUAAUCAAAAUAUUAUUUAUACUACACCCACGAUCAUGAUGCACUAAAAGUUUAAUAAUAAUAUUAAUAUUAUAAAUACAAAAACUUUAACAGAAAAUAUACAUAACAAAAGCGACAAGCCAGCACUUAAAGAAACUCAAAAUCUUGUGCCAGGCACGAGAUUCCCAUUUAAGGUAUACUAAAUAGUCCAAUAUAGCUCUUUCUCUGUCACUUAUAUAGGAUGCUCGUAAAAUCUUUCUCUUUUCAGCCGUGGUAAUACCAAUUUUGGCUCGAGAUUCUACAGCCGAAUAAUCUCCGCUGUAAGUGGCAGCGAUUGUACUACGCGCACAGUUGCCAGAUUUUAUAUAAUUUAUGAAGAUAAAAAGAAAUACACACAAAAAA